rnacentral:rRNA from 1 species
AAUAUUGCACAAUGGGGGAAACCCUGAUGCAGCGACGCCGCGUGAGCGAAGAAGGCCUUCGGGUCGUAAAGCUCUGUCCUAAGGGAAGAAACGGACGGUACCUUAGGAGGAAGCCCCGGCUAACUACGUGCCAGCAGCCGCGGCAAUACGUAGGGGGCGAGCGUUAUCCGGAAUUAUUGGGCGGUAAGGGUGCGGUGGCGGCCUUUUAAGUCAGAUUGGAAAGGCUAAGGCUUAACCGUAGUUAGCAUUUGAAACUAAAAGGCUUGAGUGGAGGAGAGGAGAGUGGAAUUUCUAGUGUAGCGGUUAAAUGCGUAAAUAUUAGGAGGAAAACCAGUGGCGAAGGCGACUCUUUUGACUGCAACUUACGCUUAGGCACGAAAGCGUGGGGAGCGAAAAGG